rnacentral:misc_RNA from 1 species
AACUGAUACUACCUGCGGGAACCUGCGGAGGGAUCAUUAUUGAAUAAACUUGAUGUGGUUGUAGCUGACUCUCUUGGGAGUAUGUGCUCGCCCGUCACUUUUAUCUUUCCACCUGUGCACUUUUUGUAGAUUUGGAUGUAACUGUCCGAGGCAACUCGGUUGGGAGGAAUACCAUCUAAUGGCUUUCCUUGUAUGUCCAAGUCUAUGUUUUUUAUAUACUCCAUAGUAUGUAACAGAAUG